UCUUUUUAGAUAUAGCUCACCUUAAAUUUAAAAAUCAUCCCAUAUGUGUCAAAUAGAGGGUCGUUCUGCUCAAUGUUGUUAUUUGGGUCUCAGGAAUGUUUUAAACGGUCAAGAAGGAUUCAAGAGUCAGGAUGAAAAUUGUUUAUUUCUAAUUUGUGAUACAUGUCCAAACCUUUAGCUGAUUGCAAAUCCACAUAUUUCCAUGAUAGGUGUGAAGCUUUAGUAUAAAAGUAUAUAUUCUUAAUUCAUACUGCAUGUAUGCUUUCCUUUCAUUAGCAUCAACCAGGUGAACUAGUUUAGAGCCUUGCUUAAGUCUGUUUGAAACCCUGGACUUAUUCUAGCCAGUGUAACAGAACAAUAACAGAAAGAGAAAUAAGGGCUGCGCCAAAUCCAAUAACGAGAUAAAACUAUGUCCAAAAAAUCACAGUAAAAUAGUCCAGAUGGAAGGAUCUCACUCUCAUAUAAAGUGCUUUGUCGGACGUUAUGUCCUCAAUGACUUUAUGGUCCAAGGGAUCCACUUUUAUGAAAGACAAAAAUAAGGACCACCAACAGUGCAAUAUGUACAGUUCAAUGCGGUCACUAUAUUACGAUAUUUUCCAUAUAGUGACCGCAUUGAACUGUACAUAUUGCACUGUUGGUGGUCCUUAUUUUUGUCUUUCAUAAAAGUGGAUCCCUUGGACCAU